rnacentral:rRNA from 2 species
CGCGGCCUAUCAGCUUGUUGGUGAGGUAAUGGCUCACCAAGGCGACGACGGGUAGCCGGCCUGAGAGGGUGACCGGCCACACUGGGACUGAGACACGGCCCAGACUCCUACGGGAGGCAGCAGUGGGGAAUAUUGCACAAUGGGCGAAAGCCUGAUGCAGCGACGCCGCGUGAGGGAUGACGGCCUUCGGGUUGUAAACCUCUUUCAGUAGGGAAGAAGCGAAAGUGACGGUACCUGCAGAAGAAGCACCGGCUAACUACGUGCCAGCAGCCGCGGUAAUACGUAGGGUGCGAGCGUUAUCCGGAAUUAUUGGGCGUAAAGAGCUCGUAGGCGGUUUGUCGCGUCUGUCGUGAAAGUCCGGGGCUUAACCCCGGAUCUGCGGUGGGUACGGGCAGACUAGAGUGCAGUAGGGGAGACUGGAAUUCCUGGUGUAGCGGUGGAAUGCGCAGAUAUCAGGAGGAACACCGAUGGCGAAGGCAGGUCUCUGGGCUGUAACUGACGCUGAGGAGCGAAAGCAUGGGGAGCGAACAGGAUUAGAUACCCUGGUAGUCCAUGCCGUAAACGUUGGGCACUAGGUGUGGGGACCAUUCCACGGUUUCCGCGCCGCAGCUAACGCAUUAAGUGCCCCGCCUGGGGAGUACGG